GAAAGCACUAUAUAAAAAUGUAUAUUACAAGACUGCAGUAGCAUUAUCUGUAGUAGCAUAGCCCACCUUCUAGAGAAUAUCUUAAUGACAUUCGUUCUUCUGGCCUCAUUAAGGAUACUCUGGGAGCUGCGUGAUGCCAACGAACACAAUCAUUUUGCUCCAGUAUAACUAGGAUCAGCAUUUUAAUUGUACAGUGACAUGACUUGUCCUUCACUAAGGCAUCACUUCAGCAUCCAGCAUGUCAGAAUAAAUCUUUUUUUCUAAAAGUUUGCAGUAACUUUGCUGACAUCAACCCAGCAUAAAUACAAACAGAGGCUAGGCCAAAUUGUUUAGUUCAGUUCAGAUCCCUGAUCUUUUGGAGCGGCUCCAGCAUUGUCUGAAGCAUUCCUUUUUGUACUUAACUAUGAAAACUAACAAGAUUUCUGUUCUUGGAAAUUCCAAGUGUAGGGGGGGGGGGUUCUACCUGGCCCCAGCUGUUGAGCUGCUUCGUGGUCCUACACAACCCCGGUCUCGAAGCGAAGGGUGCCGAAACCAUAACGAAGCUGGGAACUCGUCAUGUGGUCAAACUUGUCGUCAGCCUGUUUCACGGAGAAAAACGCAACAGGAAGCCCUCCGGAUGUUUGCUGCUUUUCAUGUGGCAUUUGUGGUCGGCUCUGAUAACGCCGGGAGCACCGCCUCCAACCCCGCGCUCUGUAAUGGCACUGGAAAUAGAAACACAUCUCUGGCCGGAGGAUCCCCGCUCCGCGCCCCCGCGCUCUGUACCGCGGCGGGUUUAAAAGGUCAAUAAAUCAGAAGGAUGAACUCUCGGCGGCACCGGUAGGUUGGGAAAGUUAACGAAUGACCCCGGGAGUCGUCGUGCGACCGCCAAGGUUUUUCGGGAGCUCAUUACCGAGCGCUUCGGGAAAGAGAGGUGUAAGCGGAGAGAGCGGCUGGAGUCAGAGUCAGUGCUGUCCGGUGUGUUUUAAAGUCACAAUUAAAAAAACCCCAAAAACCUAAACAGUCAAAACAGAAAGCGGGAAAAGGGGUGAGACAAUCCAUUUCUGACACUGAGGGCACUGAAAGGGUCACAAACUGCCAACAUUUUCUGUACAAACCGGGGAGCUUUUACUUUCUCGGCUUAGAUUCAAAACACACCUUUCUUUCUUUGAUCCCAGAUCAAUGAGCUGUAGAAGCAGUUUGCACAAAUCUCCCAAACAAAGUCAGCGGCAGUUUGCUUAGUUUAUUACCUCAUGUUCAUUAUACAGAAAAAACAUUUUCUUUUCUCCUGAAAGUGACAGCCACAAAAUUGCUAUAAAGUGUAUUUGUAAGCAGUCCCUCUACUCGUUGGAUAUUUUCAGUGCAAGCUCUUGCAGGAUUUGUUGCCUUGGCUUAUGAAAAUGUUUCUGCUAAGUAGAGUAAAAGGGACGGUUUGGUGUUUUAACACGACCGGCUGGUAAAAAAAAAGAAAAGAAAAAAAAAAGGGUAAUACUCUCUUCUGCGGCUAAAAUUCCAGGGCUGUCGGUUUUGUCGGAGUCAGUAACACGGCGUGAGCUGGGAACCGAGCUGGGAGUCACUGGAAAUGCAUCAACUUCGUUAGGGCAGCGCAUUGUUGCCUCUUUGGGUUUUGUUUUGCUUGGAAGUUGUCUAGCUUUUCUCCCUUCAGCUGAGAAUUCUGUUCUCUGCAGGGAAAAAUAACGCGCAUUUUCCUCCUGCACGAGUUUCCCUCAGACACGCUCCGGCUUCUGGUUAAUUGGGAAUUUUCUCUCGGUCUCAGCCGCGGGUGCGGUGCGGGACCUGUCCCCCGGGCAGCCGGCCUAGGGUUAGGGGCUCCGAGUCCCAGCACCUUCGGGUCGGGAAAUGUCACAACCUCAGCCAUAAAACUCAUGUCACUGGCACCCCCAGCCUUCAAAAGGUACUCCCUAAGGUAGUGUCCCCCUAAAAACGACUGAAAAAAGCACUUAAUUUCCUAACGAGCGUUCCCGGUUAAUACCGCAAGUUCCGUGAUGACCGUCGGCUUUCAAGCGGAGCGUGUCCCCAUGAAUUUAUUUUACAAUCAAUUUUAAAUGAAUUAUACUUUUGCAAGAAUGGGGUUGUUAUAUACUAGUAGGAGACCAAUUUGCACAUACGUAUGUGUAGGAACAUUGUUUUCGCCUCCGCUGCUUCUACAACAUCUGAUAAGGGAAGAAAAGCAGAGCUGUUGGAAUCGCGGGCUCUCGUUGCAUUCGACUGUCCCGUGCGAUUGAACGGGGGAAAAAAAUACUAAAACCUUCUAUUUGCUUGGUUUGAGGCAGAUGCUAGUCCUUUGGCAAUAGUUUCGACUGCUUGCAACAGGGAUAAAUACAGGAUAGCAUCAUGGAAAUACAUCGCUUGUGUGUAUAUAUGUAUAUAAUCGUUUAUAUAUAUAUUUAUAUAAUCUCUAACAAACAGAGAGGCGUAGAAAGCUCGAAUGCAGAAGUGCCUCAAGAAUUAUCCUCCUCGGUGUCAGUCCAGGGCCACCGGCCACUGCCUCCUUCUUCAUUUUCAAAUACCCACUGCUUGCCCAGGGUAAAGGAGCAGGUUUUACGCUGCACGAAACAGGAAAAUUAAUGUUAGAGUAAGUUAAUGGCGAUGCUGGCCCCAUUCCUUUAAUUUUAGCAGAAUUCUUUUAUUAUUGGUUUAUUUGAACGAAGUGGUUACCCAAAACAAAGGUGUCCUUAACCGAAUAAACCUCUUUGAUCUUCGCUUUAAAGCUCGGCG
rnacentral:lncRNA from 1 species